UGGGGAAUAUUGGACAAUGGAGGCAACUCUGAUCCAGCAAUUCUGUGUGUGUGAAGAAGGUUUUAGGACUGUAAAACACUUUUAGUAGGGAAGAAAGAAAUGACGGUACCUACAGAAGAAGCGACGGCUAAAUACGUGCCAGCAGCCGCGGUAAUACGUAUGUCGCGAGCGUUAUCCGGAAUUAUUGGGCUUAAAGGGCAUCUAGGCGGUUAAACAAGUUGAAGGUGAAAACCUGUGGCUCAACCAUAGGCUUGCCUACAAAACUGUAUAACUAGAGUACUGGAAAGGUGGGUGGAACUACACGAGUAGAGGUGAAAUUCGUAGAUAUGUGUAGGAAUGCCGAUGAUGAAGAUAACUCACUGGACAGCAACUGACGCUGAAGUGCGAAAGCUAGGGGAGCAAACAGG
rnacentral:rRNA from 2 species